UCCUACGGGAGGCAGCAGUGGAGGAAUAUUGGUCAAUGGGCGAGAGCCUGAACCAGCCAAGUAGCGUGCAGGAUGACGGCCCUAUGGGUUGUAAACUGCUUUUAUAAGGGAAUAAAGUGGGUCUCGUGAGACUUUUUGCAUGUACCUUAUGAAUAAGGACCGGCUAAUUCCGUGC
rnacentral:rRNA from 1 species